AUGAAAGGGUUUUGUAAACAGUCAAAGGCCAUAGGAACAAGAUCUCAGCUCUAACAUUAGCCAAUGAAAAUGUCCUCAAAGCAGAAGACUGCGGCACGGCACCGUUUGUAUGAAGUUUGAAUUUGAGACUUGGUUGAACCAACAGCCAUGCUUUCAGAAGUUUCAAAGGCAUUGCUGCUGCUGCUGCUGCUAAGUCGCUUCAGUCAAGUCUGACUCUGUGCAACCCCAUAGAUGGCAGCCCACCAGGCUCCCCCAUCCCUGGGAUUCUCCAGGCAAGAACACUGGAGUGGGUUGCCAUUUCCUUCUCCAAUGCAUGAAAGUGAAAAGUGAAAGUGAAGUCGCUCAGUCCUGUUGGACUCUUAGCGACCCCAUGGACUGCGGCCCACCAGGCUCCUCCGUCUAUGGGAUUACCUGGCCUCAAAUCUUCUAAGAGCUUCUACACCUUCACUGAGCUAAGGCUCAUGAUAUUGAGAAUAUUUUGUAUGCAUUCAUUCUCUUUGUUUACACCUGAACAACGUAUUUGUCUACAUUGCCUUUAUGUUCAAAAUUAUUUUCAAUUUGUUCUGUAAAAUCAUGUAAUAAAAAAGCAACACAUGAA
ensembl:lncRNA